rnacentral:rRNA from 1 species
ACGCUGUAAACGAUGAUUACUCGUUGUUGGCGAUAUACAGUCAGCGACUGAGCGAAAGCAUUAAGUAAUCCACCUGGGGAGUACGUUCGCAAGAAUGAAACUCAAAGGAAUUGACGGGGGCCCGCACAAGCGGAGGAACAUGUGGUUUAAUUCGAUGAUACGCGAGGAACCUUACCUGGGCUUAAAUGUAUAUUGCAUAAUGUGGAAACAUAUUUUUUCUUUGGAACUAUAUACAAGGUGCUGCAUGGUUGCCGUCAGCUCGUGCCGUGAGGUGUCGGGUUAAGUCCCAUAACGAGCGCAACCCUCAUUGCCAGUUGCCAGCAAGUAAAGUUGGGGACUCUGGUGAGACUGCCGGUGCAAACCGUGAGGAAGGUGGGGAUGACGUCAAAUCAGCACGGCCCUUAUGUCCAGGGCUACACACGUGUUACAAUGGCCAAAACAAUGGGCAGCCACUUAGUGAUAAGGAGCUAAUCCUGAAAAUUGGUCUUAGUUCGGAUCGGAGUCUGCAACUCGACUCCGUGAAGCUGGAUUCGCUAGUAAUCGCAUAUCAGCCAUGAUGCGGUGAAUACGUUCCCGGGCCUUGUACACACCGCCCGUCAAGCCAUGGAAGUUGGGGGUGCCUGAAGUCCGUAACCGCGAGGAUCGGCCUAGGGUAAAACCGAUGACUGGGGCU